AUUGAACGCUGGCGGCAUGCCUUACACAUGCAAGUCGAACGGUAACAGGUCUUCGGAUGCUGACGAGUGGCGAACGGGUGAGUAAUACAUCGGAACGUGCCCGAUCGUGGGGGAUAACGAAGCGACAGCUUUGCUAAUACCGCAUAAGAUCUACGGAUUAAAGCAGGGGACCGCAAGGCCUUGCGCGCAAGGAGCGGCCGAUGGCAGAUUAGGUAGUUGGUGGGAUAAAAGCUUACCAAGCCGACGAUCUGUAGCUGGUCUGAGAGGACGACCAGCCACACUGGGACUGAGACACGGCCCAGACUCCUACGGGAGGCAGCAGUGGGGAAUUUUGGACAGUGGGCGAAAGCCUGAUCCAGCCAUGCCGCGUGCAGGAUGAAGGCCUUCGGGUUGUAAACUGCUUUUGUACGGAACGAAAAGACUCUUUCUAAUAAAGAGGGUCCAUGACGGUACCGUAAGAAUAAGCACCGGCUAACUACGUGCCAGCAGCCGCAGUAAGAC
rnacentral:rRNA from 1 species